rnacentral:misc_RNA from 1 species
UCCGGAGUUUCUCCGGCAGUCUCACAUGAGUGCCCGGCAUAACCCGAUGGCAACAUGCGAUGGGGGUUGCGCUCGUUGCGGCACUUAAGCCAACACCUCACGGCACGAGCUGACGACAGCCAUGCAGCACCUGUGUAGGCUCCCCUUGCGGAGUCGUUACCCUUUCAGGCUUCUACCACCUACAUGUCAAGGCCAGGUAAGGUUCUUCGCGUUGCAUCGAAUUAAGCCACAUACUCCACCGCUUGUGCAGGCCCCCGUCAAUUUCUUUGAGUUUUAGCCUUGCGGCCGUACUCCCCAGGCGGGGCGCUUAAUGCGUUAGCUACGGCACGGAUCCCGUGGAAGGAAACCCACACCUAGCGCCCACCGUUUACGGCGUGGACUAC